GAAAUGUGAAUAGCCGUUCACCAUAAAAUACACGAUGUCCCUGCUGUGCUGUCUGAGUCAUGUUAUUCCAGGGCAACAAAAUGAUUACGCUCCCUUAACCACAGGGGGAUCGCUCAAAUGCUGCCCACCGGGCCUUGGACAUGACACAGGAACCUGGUGGGCUGCAUGUCAGUGAAUGAAUCAACAAGGCUCAUCUGCAUGAAGGCCGUCAUGUGUUGGCAUCGAUCAUCGUCCAUUGAUGUGUGUGUCAAAGUGUUUGCCUGAAAGUGUAUGAAAGACUGCACAGACCAAGGUUUAGUCUUCCUGUUGUCGUGAAGAUUUGUAAAAAAUAACUGGUGUUUUUCUUCACACACACACACUUUCAUUAACGUACGAUGCAAUCGUUGUGCUCCUUAGACGCAAAAAGGAACAAGUGACCCAGAAAGAGGAAGAGGAGGGGGACAAGCCGGAGGAAGAGCGAGGCAGAUGGAUGCUGAGGGUGCAGCAGUUCAGCCGAUGACUCAAACACACGCGAGAGCGGCAAGGAGAGCCCGGAGCCCCGCCGACCCCCCUCCUUCCCCCGGACACAGCACCGCCUCCCCGAGCCACGGCUGCUCCUCCCGGGGGAGAGCGUGAGACGGGAAAGAGCGCUGUCGGGAACGCCAUCCUGGGGGGCCCUCGGGAACGCCACCCUGGGCAGAAGGAGCUGAACGACCACGGCCUGGACCUUCAAACCAAAGUCUCCGGGAGCUCAAGGCCGGGGGGGGAGGGGGGGGAGCUAGAAGGUAAAGAGGAGCGCCUCGGGGAACGGGAACAGGAGCGUCUCGGCUGGGGCGCGGAUUUAGAGACGCAUGGUCAGACGAUGAGUGACAAGCGGAAGCAACUCCAAGGCAUUGCCCGCAGUAUAUCUCAAGCCCAGGAGGGGUUACAUGGCCGAGAAAGGCAUCUGAAGGAGAUGAACGACGAGCAGGAAGGCCUUGAAUCAGGGCAAAUGGCGACCGGCUAUUGUGAAGGAGACGGGGAUGACUGCGUCAGCCAAAGAUCAUACAACACAACACGCAGCGGAAGACCCACUAGAUGCCAAUCCCAGUGGAUGGUCAGGAAGAGGAAGGAGGAGGAAGAGGAGGAGAAGAGGUUGAUGGGGAUCAGAUAGAGGGAGGAUCAAAGGGAAGAAACAGCUCUGUCAGCCCCCGAGAACAGAAGACAAAACAAAAACUGGGGGAGGGAGGAGCAGGGCCCGCCGGAGGGAAAGG
rnacentral:lncRNA from 1 species